UACGUAGGGUGCAAGCGUUGUCCGGAAUUAUUGGGCGUAAAGAGCUCGUAGGCGGUUUGUUGCGUCGGCUGUGAAAUCCCGAGGCUCAACCUCGGGUCUGCAGUCGAUACGAGCAAACUAGAGUGUUGCAGGGGGGACUGGAAUUCCUGGUGUAGCGGUGAAAUGCGUAGAUAUCGAGAGGAACACCAGUGGCGAAGGCGAGUCCCUGGAAAACACCUGACACUGAGGCACGAAAGCUAGGGGAGCAAACAGG
rnacentral:rRNA from 1 species